rnacentral:rRNA from 1 species
UACGAAGGGGGCUAGCGUUGCUCGGAAUUACUGGGCGUAAAGCGCACGUAGGCGGCUUUCUAAGUCGGGGGUGAAAUCCUGGAGCUCGAACUCCCAGAACUGCCUUCGAUACUGGAAAGCUCGAGUCCGGGAGAGGUGAGUGGAACUGCGAGUGUAGAGGUGAAAUUCGUAGAUAUUCGCAAGAACACCAGUGGCGAAGGCGGCUCACUGGCCCGGUACUGACGCUGAGGUGCGAAAGCGUGGGGAGCAAACAGGAUUAG